AGAGGGCAACAGUGGAUUUAGUAGACUUCACGUAGCUUGCGUCGCUGCUCCUGUCUCCGUGUAACUCACAAUAAAGAGAUUUUGGCAUCAACCGUGAGCUUAGGGGUAGAAGGGUAUAUGUUAGGAGGUGGGAGCAGAAUCAAUUCUUCAAAUCUUAAUGAUGUAAGUCAUAAAGAUGUUUCCUCGAGCCACUGUUGAUUCAUUGUUAAUGAUUCAUUGUUAAUGAUUCAUUACUGCGUUUUCUGCAACACUAAGAAACCGUUGUUUCUACUAACUUUAUAAAAAACAUAUAAGAUAAAGAACAAGUGAAAAUCCAGAUUUUUUUAAUGAGGGUGAAGAAGAGUGCUCACCAGAUUCCCUUCUGGUCUGGAAAAAGAAAUCCCUUCUUUUGUGGAUGUCAUCUCUACCAUCUCUCGGUGAAAAAUAUUUCAAGAGAAUCCUAAGAUGGAGAGAGCAUUGGAAGUCAUCCGGCCCAAUUCCCUUGUGCAAUUCAAAGCUUCUUUGUAAGAAAAAUGCCCCCAGAAGUUUGUUUGCAUCAUGAAGAUCAGAUUUUGAGGAUCCAGUCUGGCUCUUCCCUGUACAAAACAUUCCUCACAAACAGAAUAUGGACAAUUGUUAAAUGUCAAAGGUAAAGUUAUUGUGGGAACUCCUUCAAAAAGUUCAAGUGAGAGCCCAUUCUAUGAAUGACCAUUUACAUCUAAUUUUUUUCUGUGCUAUGUUACUUAUUCUGAAGUGGUUGAUCCAAUUCCUAAAAGGGAAUAUUUCAUUACCUUUUAUUUCCUAUAGCAUCCAUUCUGACCCCUUUUCGGUUUAAUUAUUCCCUGAUUCCAGUCUUCAUUCACUCAUUUAUUUGAGGAAUAUUUAUUGACCAACAACUAUGCCAGGUCCCAUUCUAUGUGUAGGGACUAUAAAGUUGAACAAGACAGAGGAGGUACUGGCCUCAGAAUUUACAUUCUAGUAGAUGAGAAAGUAAAAAUAAACACAUGAAAACAUGAAUGAACCGGAUAUUGUAGACUGUGAUAGGUGUAGUUUGGGUAAAGCACAGAGUGCAGUAGUAAAGAUAAACUGCACUCAGAGUGGGGCUAUUUUAGAUGGAAUGGAGAUCUCUGAGGAAAUGAAAUUUGAGCUGAGACCUAAAAGGUCACCCAAGGACUCAUGGGAAAACUCAGUUGUUUCUAUCAAAAUUUAGCUUCAUGAACUCCAGGCCCUUGCAAAUGAUGGUUACCAGGUGAGAAAUGUCUCACUGGCAACAGAGGUUGGCAGACCCAGCUCCAGUUCCAUCCCAGCCAACAUACCAAUGUCAUUAAAAUAAGGCCAUUCAUCAAGGUGGAGACUAUUACUAGAAACAAGCAUUCUAAAGUGCCAUUUGAGUGCCAGGCUCUCAACACUGGGCGUAGCACUGCUCCAUGAGGCUUUUGAGAGCAUAUACUGAGGCAUGACCAAAAAAAUUAAGUCCCAUGUAAGUGAUGCAACUGCUCCCCAAUUACUGUGGAAGUAUCUGCAGACUAACUAUUGUGCGUGUGUGUUUGUUUGCUUUAAUGAAUAAAUUCAGUCAACCAACCAUCUA
rnacentral:lncRNA from 1 species